rnacentral:rRNA from 1 species
AUAACACCUGGAAACAGAUGCUAAUACCGGAUAACAAACAGAUGAUGCCUAUCAACUGUUUAAAAGAUGGUUCUGCUAUCACUCUUGGAUGGACCUGCGGUGCAUUAGCUAGUUGGUAGGGUAACGGCCUACCAAGGCGAUGAUGCAUAGCCGAGUUGAGAGACUGAUCGGCCACAUUGGGACUGAGACACGGCCCAAACUCCUACGGGAGGCAGCAGGC